rnacentral:rRNA from 1 species
CUCAGUGGAGUGGGAACCUGCGGAGGGAUCAUUA